rnacentral:rRNA from 1 species
UACGUAGGGGGCAAGCGUUGUCCGGAAUUAUUGGGCGUAAAGAGCGCGUAGGCGGUCCGGUAAGUCGGUUGUGAAAGUCGGGGGCUCAACCCUCGGAUGCCGAUCGAUACUGCCGGCUAGAGUCCGGAAGAGGCGAGUGGAAUUCCUGGUGUAGCGGUGAAAUGCGCAGAGUAUCAGGAGGAACACCGGUGGCGAAGGCGGGUCUCUGGGCCGAUACUGACGCUGGAGGAGCGAAAGCGUGGGAGCGAACAGG